rnacentral:rRNA from 1 species
AUUGAACGCUGGCGGCAGGCCUAACACAUGCAAGUCGAGCGGAUGAAGGGAGCUUGCUCCUGGAUUCAGCGGCGGACGGGUGAGUAAUGCCUAGGAAUCUGCCUGGUAGUGGGGGAUAACGUCCGGAAACGGGCGCUAAUACCGCAUACGUCCUGAGGGAGAAAGUGGGGGUUCUUCGGACCUAACCCUUUCAGCUGACCCUAGGUCGGAUUAGCUAGUUGGUGGGGUAAAGGCCUACCAAGGCGACGAUCCGUAACUGGUCUGAGAGGAUGAUCAGUCACACUGGAACUGAGACACGGUCCAGACUCCUACGGGAGGCAGCAGUGGGGAAUAUUGGACAAUGGGCGAAAGCCUGAUCCAGCCAUGCCGCGUGCGUGAAGAAGGUCUUCGGAUUGUAAAGCACUUUAAGUUGGGAGGAAGGGCAGUAAGUUAAUACCUUGCUGUUUUGACGUUACCAACAGAAUAAGCACCGGCUAACUUCGUG